rnacentral:tRNA from 1 species
GGUAUGUUGGCUCAGUCAGUAGAGCGUCCGCCUCACAACCGGGAGGUCGUGGGCCGCGACAUACCA